rnacentral:rRNA from 1 species
AGUAAGCGGAGGAUAAGAAACUAAAUAGGAUUCCCUCAGUAAUGGCGAAUGAACAGGGAUAAGCUCAGCAUGGAAAUUGGGGCCUCCGGCCUUGAAUUGUAGUCUUGAGAUGUGUUACCAACGGAGGCGCAGAUGUAAGCCUCUUGGAAAAGAGCGUCAGGGAGGGUGAGAGUCCCGUAUGUCAUCUGCAGUUCUCUGUGCACGGUACAUUUUCUAAGAGUCACGUUCCUCGGGAUUGGAGCGCAAAUUGGGUGGUAAAUUUCAUCUAAAGCUAAAUAUUGGUUCGAGACCGAUAGCAAACAAGUACCAUGAGGGAAAGGUGAAAAGGACUUUGAAAAGAGAGUUAAAAGUGCCUGAAAUUGCUGAAAGGGAAGCGAAUGGAACCAGUUGUUCUUGGCGAGUAUUGGUGUUGUCUAAGGUGAUAGCUUGCCACUUCAACGCAAGUGUGGUGGCAGGUUUUGAUCUGGAUGCGAUACUGCUUCUCGCCUUGCGUGUCAACGUCAGUUCAUAAUUGAGGAAAACUCUAGGGACAUGGUAAUUUGCUUCCGGGCGACUGAAUGUCCCCAGUUGAACUCAUUUUUGAACUGCUCACUGUGUGUCUGGUCGCACUGCUCCGUGUGCUUGCUUGCAAUCUUCUGCUUGGCAUGAAGGUGCUAGNGCCAGGNGCAUGUCCUGACAUAAGAACGAUGACGAAA